AGCAGCCGCGGUAAUUCCAGCUCCAAUAGCGUAUAUUAAAGUUGUUGCAGUUAAAAAGCUCGUAGUUGAAUUUCGGGAUUGACACAUCGGUCGUGCCUUAAGGGGUAUGAACUGGUGUAGUCAAUUUCUCACCUUCUGGAGAACCGCGAUGCCCUUAAUUGGGUGUCGCGGGGAACCAGGACCUUUACUUUGAAAAAAUUUAGAGUGUUUAAAGCAGGCAUUUUGCUUGAAUACAUUAGCAUGGAAUAAUAAAAUAGGACGGCAUGAUUCUAUUUUGUUGGUUUCUAGGAUCACCGUAAUGAUUAAUAGGGAUAGUUGGGGGCAUUAGUAUUCAAUUGUCAGAGGUGAAAUUCUUGGAUUUAUUGAAGACUAACUACUGCGAAAGCAUUUGCCAAGGAUGUUUUCAUUAAUCAAGAACGAAAGUUAGGGGAUCGAAGACGAUCAGAUACCGUCGUAGUCUUAACCAUAAACUAUGCCGACUAGGAAUCAGACGAUGUUAAUUUUUUUCAAUGACUCGUUU
rnacentral:misc_RNA from 1 species